GGGAAAUACAGUAUGGACUGAAUGACUAGGAUACCACUGUGCACAUUAAAAUAACCUCUAUUUUUCCACAGAUAAACUUAACAGGGAGUCACAUAGUUCAAAUCUUAUCAUACUAACCUGUACAGCUUUACACACCUGUACAAAGCCUGGGAAUUAAGGUGUCCAUUCAACUUUAAUUCUGAAAUGCUCUUAUUUUUGAACACUCAGCAGUUGCCUUCCUUUAACAUAAAUUUGCUUCUGCACCUACACAAAAGCAUGUUUUCAUGUAAGUGAAAACUGUCUUUCAAAACAGCUAACAAACUCAUGCUAAAAUGGAAGGUUCCAAGCUUUUCGCUUGAUUAGGCCAUAUUUAAUUUAAAAACAGAACCUUAAAUAUUGGCCUGCAUCUCUGCCAUAGCCUUGCAAGUAAAAUGAGCAGAAGGCAGAUAAUGGAGUUUUGUUCAGUGCCUUUCACUUCAGAGUGCCUAGAGCUCAUCCAGCCUGCAUCUUCCUGUGGAGGUGUGGAGUUUAACUUCCUACUGAUACUUUGACUUAGUUAGUUAGUUAGCAGUUAGGAGAUAAGGAAGAAGGCCAGCACCACGGAAUCUCUUAAUUCACCCCUCAGUUUUUUCUAAACCAACUAGAAACAGAGACUUUUGCAAACCUGGUUCCUGCAGACAGCUCUGUGUUCAACACCUGGGCCAACAGCAAAGUGUUUAUACAUGGGCUGCAGCCAUGUGGGCUGCUAACCAAGGGAGGCUGGAGAGUUUAUCCACCAAGCCCUGGGCAACUGUGCUAUUACAUCACUGCCAAGCUCACAGGUGAAAAUGGUUGACCUCAUUUAGAUGGGAAAUUGCCAUUGUUGGCACUGGCUUGGGGAGCUGACUGUACCAACCCCAUGCAGGCAGUCACUCAACAUGCUCCCCUCCUGUUUGUGGGCCACGUGUUCCUGGGACACAGGGGAGUAUCUUUGGCAAGUGAUGCUGACAUAGUGCUGACAGUUGAAAGAGAGUCCUGAUGUGAAUUAAAGGCGUUAUUAGUAUAUUAGUAUGUCUGCACUGCUUCCCUGGGCUUCCCUUUUGCUCUGUCCUCCCCUCCCUGCACCCAUGGACAAUUAACAAUACAAAGAAAACAAGAUAAAUUCCAGCAAGAGCAAAGGCCAUAAAUCUUGUUGCAGUUCUGCAGUUUGUUGCUGAAGCCCUCUUUUGCUUUGGGUGGUAAGAGCUAUGAAUACCGAGGAAGUGGUCUGGUGGGAUUACAAAUGCAUGUAUUGGAGGAGUGGUGGGUACAUAUCAGUUGGGCCAGCACAGCACUUUCUGCAGAGCAGUUGCCCAUACUGGCCGCAGAAAACUUACCAAAACAGCGGUGUCUGCUGCAGCUGGAAAAGCAGGGCAGACACUAGCCUGCUGGAAGCAAUGCAGGUGGAUUCAGUAUGCCCCAUCUUUUAUCUUCAUUUCAUGAAAUUAGUGACCACGCUGGUUGGUUGGGUCUACUUAAGGAGGAAAAGGAGGGAAGUGUGCCCACAUCUUCGCCCAUCAGCGGUGAGCGCACGGGUGACACGGCAGGUGAGGGACCACAUGUGGUGAACACAUCACGUCAUAUGCCUUACGUCACUUAUGACACCAUAAAUGCAGCCUAGCAGCGGUGCUGCCCCCACUGGUUUCAUCUCCCUUCUGAAGCUCAGUGUGGGCUGUGGGGAGCUGCCUGCCUCGUGCAGGGAGGGGCACAUUUCCAGAAGACGGCUGCCAGACCUGGCCGUGAGCAGCCAGGUCUGUGCGACCCGCUGUGCAUAAGCCCAGCUCUGUCUCUGUGUGAGCCACGGGCAGCUGGAUUUACAAAAUAGGGGGAAGAGCUGUGCCGACCGUCCUUGCCUGGCAUCAGGGAGCUAAGCUGAGAGAGGCAACUGGAGGUAAUCAUUCACCCUUAAACUCACUGUACCAGAAUGGUGCCUGACUCUGGAUCCGUACAAAUAACAAGUCUUAGAAGUUUAUUUUGCACGGGGAGGGACCUGAAUCCUUCCAAAGGCAGUUUUUCAUUGAAAGCUCCUGGCUCAGAGGUAUAUCAGAAAAAGUGCUGAGCGCUCCUGAAGGCACGACUGAAGGCUGCAGCCUGCGGUCAGCCUCCCAAGGAGGAAAGGACACUUUGUGGGAUCAGACCUUCAUGGCUCUGUUCAAGAUAUGCUUAUUUCACAGUAGAAACUUAAUGAUGCAAAAAGACCACCUCUCUAACGACCCACCACAGCUUAUAUACAUUCCCGUGUUUAACACCAAGGAGUGACAACUGGACAAUUUAACAAUUCAGUGCACUUAAUCUUCUAAGCUAACAGAGAAGGACUUCGAAGCUGCUGGCUUUGCCUCCAGCUCCCGCCAGCCCUGUGUUGAACAUUGCCCCAGGGCAGGUCCCUGGCUGCACUGGAGUGGAUGAGUAGGGGCAAAAUCUCUUUUUUUUUUUUUUUUUUUUUUUUUCGGGGGAUUUACUAUGUCUGCUAUGUUGAUGUUUUCAGGAUUAUAUCAUCCAUUUGACUUGACCUUCAGAUGCAUUACCUCUGAGAGCAGCCUCAUGCUCUCCUGCUAUGUUUAAGUCAACCAUUACAACUUUGGGUUUCAUAUCCCAAGGUGGAAAUCUUAGCUAGGCUUAACUGAGAGAGAGGUGUAGAGAGAUGCAUCUGUGUAAACCUCUCUCCCUGCAGCAGAAUACCACCUCUAAAGAAAAACAGCAAGGGAAUGUGCUGCCCACCACAUUGCUUCAAUGGCAGAGACGUAGAGAGCAGGAGCUGGUAGAAAAGUAGUAGCUGUUGAAAACCUUCAGAAACACAAUUGGAUAAAACAAACGAACAAAAAACAACUAAGCAGGUGAUAUCAUCUUCACCAGGAAAAGCAGAGAGGCUGUUAAAUGCCAGGCUUCCUCAUCGUACUUGGUCCUGAACCUGGUGUGUCCAGAUGCCAUUUCAAUGUCCUCCAGUUUCUGGUGUGGAGGAUUUCCAUCAGUCUCCUCUUGCCCCAGCCUUCCCUCCAGCUGCGGUCACUGAUGAAAGCCCAGCCCCAGGGGCAUGCAGUGCCAGGGCUUGCUUUAAGGGAAAACGAAGAAGGAAAGGCUGGGAGAAUUAGGAUGCUCUCACUGCUCUCCUGCUGAUCCACCUUUCUUGGCACUACGAUUGCUCAGCGAAGAGCUUGGCUCUUUGAUGAAGGGGUUGGUAGGGACCGGGCUUGGCUGGCACUGUAAGGAGAAGUGGAGGUCUGCUGGAGAUAAAGGAGUAAGCCAGACACAGCAAGGUAAAUGCACAGAGGUCUGCCUCCACCCCUGAGCAGGAAUCAGGGCGAGCCUCUCGGUUAAACUUGCUGGGGUAAGAAAUGCUUGAUGUCCAGGGAUCUCCACAUGCACCCACCAGAAAAGUUUGCUGUUAGCCAGCCUGAAUCCUGCUCCCAUUGCCAGCUCUGUAAAUCUAGAGCAGCGACACCAGCUUUCCUGGCUGUGUUUAAAGCAGCACAAAACCUGUCUUCACGUUAUAACUGCUGUAAAAGCAGGAUGGGUCGGAUUCACGCCUGGCGGAGCACGACGGCUGAGCGGGGGACAGCACUCUAUUAAUAAAGCUAUUAUUCAAAUGAAGAACUUAAAAAAACAAA